CAGGUCUCUACGGUCAGUUAAGACCAGAGCCAGUCCCUGGGACUUAUGGUGGACCAGAUGUAAAGAACAACUUCAAUGGCUUUCUAAGAAAUGGCUAUGGAGGUCGCUGUCCUCCAGGGAAAUGUUGAGCCUAAAGACAUCUCUCCAUCACCCCAAUCUGAAGAUCUUCAGGGGAGCUUGGAGCCCAAGACCUGGCCACCUUUCUUGCAAUCAGGCUUUUUGGAAAGACAGGCUCUUUGGGAGGGUAGUCUCCCCCCUGCCCCAGGAGGGUCCUUUUUUGGUCUCUUAAAUUCAGCCUUAUAAAGGGCCCCUCAAGGUAGAGAGCAGGAGGAAGUCCUGGGCCUGUUAA